UGUUUCAAAAUUUCGACGUUAAGAACGAACAAAUAUCGAUUAGGAAGGCCAAGAAGAGUCUAUAUUUAUAAUGGAGUUUCCAUGUAUUCAUAGGAACAAAAUUAGUAUCAUUAGUAUUAAAUGCUGACUGCUCCAUAACCUCCACCUCCCGGUGUUUCAAUUACAAUGUGAUCUCCUUUGCCCAUGAGAACGUGGUUUUUACCACCCAAGUUAACAUACCUUGGAAAGUCAGGAUUGCUGCAAUCUAUCCAUGUAUUAACACCCAUGGCUCCAUCUUCUCCCCCGUUCAUUCCAUAAGGAGCCCGACUUCUCCUCUCCGACAAUAUUGAACAGUGCAUUGACCGGCGAAAUUCAAAAUGUCGUAUGACACCAUCACCACCAUGAUAUUCUCCUUUGCCUCCAGAAUUUUCUCUUAAGCAGAACCUUCUAAGUAUUACGGGUGCUCUCCUUUCUACUACCUCUGGAUCAGUGAUACGAGUAUUUGUCAUAUGGGUAUGGACUCCACUAGUUCCAUUCCAAGUAGGACCUGCUCCAGCACCUCCUGCGAUUGUUUCAUACAUUGCAAAACCUUCCUCUCCGUUUUCACCAUCGUAGCCGAAAGUCAAGUUAUUCAUACAUCCUUGUGAUGCUGCACAAAUGCUAAAAGCUUUCAAUAUGACAUCUGUGAUUCUUUGAGAGGUCAGUACAUUACCACCAACCACUGCAGCAGUCUCGGAAGGAUUAAGAAAGCAUGAGGGUGGAAUCCUAAUUUCUAUUGGCUUCAAGCAGCCCUCGUUCAGUGGGAUAUCUUGAUUAAUUAUAGAACGAAGGCAGUAGAUAACUGAUGAAUAAGUAAUUGCAAUAGGUGCGUUCCAAUUACCGUAAACUUCUGGACCUGUACCUUCGAAAUCAAAUACGGCAUCACCAGUUUCAGGAUCAAUUUUCACUUCUAAUUGUAGGGGAGUACCAUCAUCCAUAUAAUCUAUCGCUUUCAGGGGUUUCUGCGAAUUUUGUACACUGAAUGCCUUUAAUACGUCUCUAACAGCUUUUUCUGCUGCUGCCUGUAUUCCAUACAUAGAACGCUGAACAAUAUCAAGCCCGUAUUCGACAACGAGCUUUUCUACCAUAGAUCUACCUCUAUGACAAGCAGAUAACAUUGCUUUAACAUCACUGAUGUUGUCUCGAAGUGUCCUUGAUCCAGAACAAUCCGGGUAUUUAGCAGGCUCAUCAAAAAGUAAUUGUGUAAGUCCUUUUUCAUCAAAGGUUCCGGCCUUAACAACUUUGAAGGUUUUUAUUGCUGCUCCUUCUUCAUAAAUUGCUUUGGAAUUUGAAGGCAUUGAACCUGGAGUAAUUCCUCCAACAUCCACCAUAUGUCCCCUUGCUGCACAAUAAAAGAUAAUAUCUUUAUUGUUAUCGAAAACAGGAGUGACAACGGUCAAAUCGGGUAGAUGAACUCCACCUGCAAUAGGAUGAUUAGAAAGUAAAACAUCUCCUGGAACAAGUUUACCUUUCCAAUAAUUAUGCUGCCACUUUACCGCAGUUUGCAUUGAUCCCAGCAUGGCUGGGACGUGUGGAGCAUUAGCAACGAGACCUCCAUCAGGAGAAAACAGCGCACAACUAUAAUCAAGCCGUUCUUUAACGUUAACACUCACAGCGGUUUUUUGAAGAACUUGACCCAUUUGUUCUGAUAUACUCAUAAAACGAUUGGCAAAGAUCGUCAUAGUAAUCGGGUCCAAGUCGACGUUCUUUUUCACUACCAGUGUGGAUUUUGUUUUUUCAAGCAAAACAUGUCUUGCGAAAAUCUUAGCUGUAAAAGACGGCUCAAUUAGCAGAGUUUGCGUAGUAUCAACGAUAACAGCUGGACCAGUUAUCAAACUAUGAACAGGUAAAGAUGAUAAUUGGUAUACGUGACAAUUUACCUUCCCGACUUCUGCAAAGUAGACAGGUGUAUACAUCGUAGGUUUGUUAUCUCUAAUAAACACAGUAUUUUCAUUUUCAGUUUCGGAAGCAAAGACAGUAUCGACUUCAGAUUGAUUGGAAGCUCGUGCGAUAGCGCGAAUUCUAAUGUCUUCAACCAUGAUUUUACGAUCUAUUAAAGAAAAUCCGAAUUGAUUCUUAUAAGAUUCUUCAAACAAAGUCUUAAAAUCCCAUGAGUCCUUUGGCUUUGCAAUCAUCAUAGUGGUAUCGUUACCUUCGUAUCGCAGAUUUGCGAAUAAUUCGGUCGAGAUUUGAGACUCUAGAUAUCCUUCAUUCUCCAAAAAGGAAACGGCCUUUUUGUCUAACACAUCAAACUUUGAUUGUAUAAGAGGUAAAUUAUCCUCAUCUAACACAGAUAAACAAGGCAUUUGUUCCUCAUGUGUCACAUGAGCUAAUGCUAAACCAUAAGCAGAAAGGACAGAGGAAUAUUUAUGAAUAAUAAUCUUUUCAAUGUUCAAUAAAGAUGCAAUUGCACACGCAUGUUGGCCACCAGCGCCUCCAAAAACAGCAAGAUGGUGCGCAGAAAGGUCCAAUCCACGUGAUUCGGUAAGUUUACGGAUUGGUCGACACAUGGUUUCAUUAGCUACCUGGAUAAAUCCCAUGGCAAUUUCUUCAAUUGUCUUCUCCUUCUCAAUGUCAAUGUUGAUGAUGUCCCUUAAUUCAGAAAAUUUUUCAAUGACUAUGUCUUUGUUCAUACUCUCGUUUUCUUUUGGACCAAAAAUUUUCGGGAAGAAAUCAGGAAUAAUUCUUCCCAACAAAACGUUUGCAUCUGUAACAGUUAAAGGUCCACCAUUGAGAUAACAAGCCGGUCCUGGAAAAGCACCAGCACUUUCUGGACCAACCGAAAACAGUUGAUUUCUCCAAAAUAAUCGAGAACCACCACCUGCAGCAACCGUCUGAAUAUCCAAUUGAGGGGACUGAAUGUAUAGUCCGAAUAUAUUGGCUUCGUAUAUAUGCUCAAAUUUACCAUCGUAUCUAGAAACAUCAGUUGACGUGCCCCCCAUAUCAAAACCUAUGGCUGGCGUUUUGUCAUCAGCAUGCAAAGAUGAUGUUUUCGCAAAUCCAACCGUACCUGCAGCAGGACCGCUCAUUAUAGCACUAAUAGCAGUAAAAUUAUCUAUGUCAACUAGACCACCAUCGCUUUUCAUGAAUUGAAUAGUAUUAGGCUUCACAUUGUAAAAAUUCUUCUUAAACGAAUCAAGAUAAUACCUCAACGUAGAACUAAGAUACGCGUCGAUAAUGGCGGAAACGGCCCUUGGAACUAUUUUAACCAUUGGUGUAAGUUUUGAUGAGAGAGAAAUAUCUGUAAAUCCUAUACGUUUGGCAAUUUUUUCAACUACCUCUUCAUGAAGAGGAUAUGUAUAAGAAUGCAUAAGACUGACAGAAAUGGAGCGAAACCCUUCAUUGUAUAAUUCCUUUAGAUCUUGAUAUAACGCUUCUUCAUCCAAUUUCUUUUCCACUCGCAAAAAUUCUCCUGUAAUUCCUUGAACAAUACCAGCUGUCUUUGAGAAUUGGUUUUCUAAGACAACUCUCUCUUUUGCUUCUAUGACACGUUGAUAUAAUGGUGAAGGCCUUGAUACUGUGAGGUCGAAUAAGUCCGGGCGAGCUUGAUUUCCGAUUUCUACCAAAUUUCGAAAACCUUCCGUGAUUAUGAAGGCGGUUUUUUCACCCUUACGUUCUAACAAAGCAUUCGUCGCAACAGUUGUACCCAUACGUAUAGAGGAUACUCUUGUCAAGUCUAAAGGGACUUUACGAGGUAUUUCUUCGCCGGACGCAUAACACAACACUCUUCUAAUUCCUUCAGUUGGAGCAUCGUCGUAUAAUUUAGGGUUUACAGAAAGCAACUUGAAAAUCCCUUCUUGCUCCCUCCAUCCAGAUAUCUUAUAGUAAACAUCGGUGAAGGUUCCACCCCUAUCAAUCGCAAUUCGCACAUCUUGUUUCAUUAUAAAAAAAUUAAAAGGUUAUUCUUAACUUAAAGAAUGAAUGAAUAACUACAGCAUGCUAAUUGCGAACUUUUAUACCUCUAGUCAACGUUCCAAUCAGUCAAGAUAAGUAAAACGAGCUCCUCCUUGACCGAGACAUUGAACGUCCAAAAAAUUAUACCAAGAUGGGGGAUUCCAUAGUCGUAAGGAAUGAUUCUUAUCAUUUAAAGAUUUAGUGCUCUCCAUUUAGAUUUUUAACCGAAGCGAUCAAACUAAUAAUUCGUGUAUGUACAUUUUUGCAUUGUGGAAUAAACUGCCCCAAGAAAAAGAUUUACGAGUGCAUCCCUCAUGUGAGAGUUUGUAGUUAACUCUAAUCAAAGCAAGAAAUAAUAAGUACAGUUCAAUUAAUCUAAAGAAACAUGUGCACAAAGUACCUACUAAAGAACAGAUAACAAUCUUAC